rnacentral:lncRNA from 1 species
UGUAACGGUCACGUUACGUGCUCUUUUCCUAUUUGCUCUAAAAAUUAGCUCUUUAAUUAUUUUUAUAAUUAUUUUCCAUCGGUCUCUCAUUUAAAUUCUCUAAUUUCUCGUAUAGGACUACUGAGGUGACGUCAUCCCUCGGUGAUGGAACGUACUAUGUACGCCACCUAUCGAGAAUUAUUUCGUGUUCUGAGAGAGUUUGACGUUUACCUUGUCAGAAAAACGGAUCUCACUCGAGACUCGACUUUUGUGCCCGGAAUAGGUCGGUCAGCUGUGUAAGCUGCAGUACCCGAAAUGGCGGGUUGAUAAUUUCAAUUUUAGUUAGUAAAGCCUUUUAGUUCACCAGUGAGAGAAAAAUACCCCUUGUCUUCUGGAGUAGGGAUUGAAGUACUUCGAUGGAACCUCACUAAAAUCAAUCCGCCUUUUGGGGAAAUAAUAUAAAGCGACAUGAGAAAUCAUAGACCCUCACCCACCUGAGAGGAACCUAUUCCGGCUACAUAGUCAGUCACCUGGGAGCAAGCGAAGCGUUCCAGCUUCAUUUUCUGUCUACAGCUGUGCUUACAGGAAGCAUGGUUUGGCACUAUCCUCGUGCUCAUUUUCUGGGAACCUUUUGGUUAUACAUUUGAGGAAUGGAUUAGUUUGGGAACACUCAGUUUGGUGAUUUGAGUAACUUUUGUUUUCUAUAUUUCGGACUUUUGGUAAUGCACUAUGUUUAUUAAUUAUUUUUUUCAGAUUUAGCGUACCUUUGUUUUUAUAUGACAUAUUUGUAUAUUAUUGUAUUUAAUUCCCAAACUUUGUAUCUACGGUAACUUCUUGUGCACAGGAAUAAGCCUAGAGAAAAUUAGGUUUUUAAUACUUUAUUAUUGCUUUGAUAUUGGUUUAUGUAAUUCGGGUAAAUUUAUUUUGUAAUAUUACUUGCUUGUUUCCCAAAUAUGUUAUUUAUUCGCUUUAUUUCAUUUGUUCAGUUAAUUCGUCGCUACUUUAUUUUAUUGCAUUUGCUCGGGUAAUUUAGGUCAUCGUUUCGGUAUUUAUCUUAGCUUCAUUUUUACAAUUUUUAUUAAUGCAUUUGCUUAAUUCAUCAUGGUAUUUUCCCUUCGCCAGGCUUGUGCCUAUUUAUUUAUAUUACUUUUAAUAUUCAUCGGUUUUCAAUUCAGUUGUACGUAGCAAGCGUACUAUAACCAUUUGGUAAAGAGGACUCAUGUGAGUUGUACCCUAUAUGUUAGUAAGAGGUACUUAUACCUUUAAGUUUUGUAACAGGUAACAUUAUUAUUAUCUUAGACAAAUAUAGCUUUUAUAUAACAUAUGUCAUUUUAGAGUCACAUUAUAUUUAAUUUGUCUAACUCAGAGAUUGUUAAAAAUCUGGUAGUUAAUUUUAAUAAAUGUUUAUUUAUUUUGUA